GAUGAACGCUGGCGGCGUGCCUAAUACAUGCAAGUCGAGCGAACGGACGAGAAGCUUGCUUCUCUGAUGUUAGCGGCGGACGGGUGAGUAACACGUGGAUAACCUACCUAUAAGACUGGGAUAACUUCGGGAAACCGUAUCUAAUACCGGAUAAUAUUUUGAACCGCAUGGUUCAAAAGUGAAAGACGGUCUUGCUGUCACUUAUAGAUGGAUCCUCGCUGCAUUAGCUAGUUGGUAAGGUAACGGCUUACCAAGGCAACGAUGCAUAGCCGACCUGAGAGGGUGAUCGGCCACACUGGAACUGAGACACGGUCCAGACUCCUACGGGAGGCAGCAGUAGGGAAUCUUCCGCAAUGGGCGAAAGCCUGACGGAGCAACGCCGCGUGAGUGAUGAAGGUCUUCGGAUCGUAAAACUCUGUUAUUAGGGAAGAACAUAUGUGUAAGUAACUGUGCACAUCUUGACGGUACCUAAUCAGAAAGCCACGGCUAACUACGUG
rnacentral:rRNA from 1 species